AUUGAACGCUGGCGGCAUGCCUUACACAUGCAAGUCGAACGGCAGCACGGGAGCUUGCUCCUGGUGGCGAGUGGCGAACGGGUGAGUAAUACAUCGGAACGUGCCCUGAAGUGGGGGAUAACGUAGCGAAAGUUACGCUAAUACCGCAUAUUCUGUGAGCAGGAAAGCAGGGGCGCGUAAGACCUUGUGCUUUAGGAGCGGCCGAUGUCGGAUUAGCUAGUUGGUGGGGUAAAGGCCUACCAAGGCGACGAUCCGUAGCGGGUCUGAGAGGAUGAUCCGCCACACUGGAACUGAGACACGGUCCAGACUCCUACGGGAGGCAGCAGUGGGGAAUUUUGGACAAUGGGCGCAAGCCUGAUCCAGCCAUGCCGCGUGAGUGAAGAAGGCCUUCGGGUUGUAAAGCUCUUUCGGCGGGGAAGAAAUUGCGUGGGUUAAUACCCUGCGUAGAUGACGGUACCCGCAUAAGAAGCACCGGCUAACUACGUGCCAGCCGCCGCAGUAACAC
rnacentral:rRNA from 1 species